GAUGGCAAAGACUUUGUUGUCUCUAUUUUUGGUAGUCGCCUUCUUUAUCAUUUCACAAGAUGUGGUGACAGCACAAUGUCAGUGCAAAGGAGAUUGUAAUAAUACAUGUGAAUCUGGUCUUCCAACUUGUGUUGAUGGGUUUUGUGUAUGUUUAGCUCUCGAGACAUAUUCCACCAUUCAUAAAGAUGUGGUGAAAGCAGAAGAGUGUGACUGUCAAAAUAAAGCAGAUUGUCGUCAGCCAUGUGAAUCUGGGCUUCCAACUUGUGUUGAUGGGUUUUGUGUAUGUUUAGCUCUCGAGACAUAUUCCACCAUUCAUAAAGGUUAAGGUGGCGGUCUUGGUGGCAAGUAUGAACCUUGCAAGAGUUCUCGUAGUUAUUAAAAAUAAAGAAUGCCUCAUUGGCGGAUGAGGUUUAUAUUUAAUUUGAUGAUGUUUACUUAGAAAAAAUAAAUGACAAUGA